rnacentral:lncRNA from 1 species
UCAUGCCAUCCGAGCCAACGUCGGAUCAAUCAAGGUGCUCCCAUCACGGUGGAGUUAAUUAGCACGCCGGCGUUGCUGACAGACAGGGAGGGGGUUCGCUUGCACGCGCAGGCUGAUGAGCGCUCACUAUACGUGCCCCCGUCAACCACGCGGUCAGCUGCUACAGCCUACUACUACCGGACCAGCAUCGCUGGGUUGGGUAUUCCGUUUAAACCGAC